UGGGCGUAAGCGCGCGCAGGCGGUUUCUUAAGUCUGAUGUGAAAGCCCCCGGCUCAACCGGGGAGGGUCAUUGGAAACUGGGGAACUUGAGUGCAGAAGAGGAGAGUGGAAUUCCACGUGUAGCGGUGAAAUGCGUAGAGAUGUGGAGGAACACCAGUGGCGAAGGCGACUCUCUGGUCUGUAACUGACGCUGAGGCGCGAAAGCGUGGGGAGCGAACAGGAUUAGAUACCCUGGUAGUCCACGCCGUAAACGAUGAGUGCUAAGUGUUAGAGGGUUUCCGCCCUUUAGUGCUGCAGCAAACGCAUUAAGCACUCCGCCUGGGGAGUACGGUCGCAAGACUGAAACUCAAAGGAAUUGACGGGGGCCCGCACAAGCGGUGGAGCAUGUGGUUUAAUUCAAAGCAACGCGAAGAACCUUACCAGGUCUUGACAUCCUCUGAC
rnacentral:rRNA from 1 species